rnacentral:rRNA from 1 species
CCUACGGGAGGCAGCAGUAGGGAAUCUUCCGCAAUGGACGAAAGUCUGACGGAGCAACGCCGCGUGAACGAUGAAGGCCUUCGGGUCGUAAAGUUCUGUUGUUAGGGAAGAACAAGUGCUAGUUGAAUAAGCUGGCACCUUGACGGUACCUAACCAGAAAGCCACGGCUAACUACGUGCCAGCAGCCGCGGUAAUACGUAGGUGGCAAGCGUUGUCCGGAAUUAUUGGGCGUAAAGCGCGCGCAGGCGGUUUCUUAAGUCUGAUGUGAAAGCCCCCGGCUCAACCGGGGAGGGUCAUUGGAAACUGGGAAACUUGAGUGCAGAAGAGGAAAGUGGAAUUCCAAGUGUAGCGGUGAAAUGCGUAGAGAUUUGGAGGAACACCAGUGGCGAAGGCGACUUUCUGGUCUGUAACUGACGCUGAGGCGCGAAAGCGUGGGGAGCAAACAGGAUUAGAUACCCUGGUAGUCCACGCUGUAAACGAUGAGUGCUAAGUGUUAGAGGGUUUCCGCCCUUUAGUGCUGAAGUUAACGCAUUAAGCACUCCGCCUGGGGGGUACGGUCGCAAGACUGAAACUCAAAUGAAUUGACGG